UACGUAGGGGGCAAGCGUUGUCCGGAAUCACUGGGCGUAAAGGGCGCGUAGGUGGCGCGACAAGUCAGUGGUGAAAGCUCGAUGCUUAACCUCGAGUCGGCCACUGAUACUGUUGGGCUUGAGCACUGUAGAGGCUAAUGGAAUUCCGGGUGUAGCGGUGGAAUGCGUAGAGAUCCGGAAGAACACCGGUGGCGAAGGCGGUUAGCUGGGCAGUUGCUGACACUGAGGCGCGACAGCGUGGGGAGCAAACAGG
rnacentral:rRNA from 1 species